AGCAGCCGCGGUAAUUCCAGCUCCAAUAGCGUAUAUUAAAGUUGUUGCAGUUAAAAAGCUCGUAGUUGAAUUUCGGGAUCAAUAUAUCGGUCGUGCCUCCGGUAUGCACUGGUAUUAUUGAUCUCUACCUUCUGACGAAUCAUGAUGUCAUUAAUUUGGUGUCAUGGGGAAUCAGGACUGUUACUUUGAAAAAUUAGAGUGUUUAAAGCAGGCACACGCUUGAAUACAUUAGCAUGGAAUAAUGAAAUAGGACGUUUGACCCUAUUUUGUUGGUUUCUAGGAUCGACGUAAUGAUUAAUAGGGAUAGUUGGGGGCAUUAGUAUUCAAUUGUCAGAGGUGAAAUUCUUGGAUUUAUUGAAGACUAACUACUGCGAAAGCAUUUGCCAAGGAUGUUUUCAUUAAUCAAGAACGAAAGUUAGGGGAUCGAAGACGAUCAGAUACCGUCGUAGUCUUAACCAUAAACUAUGCCGACUAGGGAUCGGAUGAUGUUAAUUUUUAAUGUACUCU
rnacentral:rRNA from 1 species